rnacentral:rRNA from 1 species
AUUCAAUUCAUUAUAUUUAAUAACAAAAGUACAUUAGAGAUGUUGAUCUUUUUUAUAAAAGAAGAAGGAUUUAAUCGACCGUCUUGGAACACGGACCAAGGAGUCUAACAUGUAUGCAAGUCUAAGAGUAAUUUAAAACUAUAAGGACGAAAUGAAAGUGAUUAAUUUAUUAAAUUUGGGGUUUAAGACUCAUUUUGAAAUAAAGACUAGUUAAAUUUAGGUUUAAUUAAGUUUAAGCAUAUAUGAUGGGACCCGAAAGAUGAUGAACUAUGCUUGAACAGAGUGAAGUCAGGGGAAACUCUGGUGGAGGCUCGUAGCGAUACUGACGUGCAAAUCGUUCGUCUGAUUUGAGUAUAGGGGCGAAAGACUAAUCGAAUCAUCUGGUAGCUGGUUUUCUCCGAAAUUUCCCUCAGGAUAGCUGACAUUGAUAAUGUACAAUUUUAUAACGUAAAGC